rnacentral:rRNA from 1 species
UAAUGUAUUUAUUUAGUUAUUUGAGUAGUAUUAGUUAUGAUCUUGAAACUUAAAAAAUUUGGCGGUAUUUUAAUCUAUUCAGAGGAACCUGUAUAUUAAUUGAUAUUCCACGUUGAAUCUUACUUAAAUUUGUUUUAGUUUAUAUAUCGUCGUUAUAAGAAUAUUUUAAAAAAAUUAAUAAUUUUCUUUAAUUUUUAUAAAAAUUUAUAUCAGAUAAAGGUGUAGCUUAUAUUUAAGUUUUAUUAUGGGUUACAAUAAAUUAAUUUAUAUGAAUAUAAAAUUGAAAUAUUUUAUUGAAAGUGGAUUUGAUAGUAAAAUAAUAUAGAUAAAUUAUUUGAUUUUAGUUAUAAAAUAUG